rnacentral:lncRNA from 1 species
AGCAAUUGAUCUUCUCUUCACCGAAAACUCAACGUUAGCUAUACUUUGCACUCCUUCCUCUCAGAUUUUCCAUACGAAUUUCUGACUUCUGCUCCCUUGUUCUGCAUUGUUUUAAACUACUAAGAAAGCAACAGUAAGUGUGAUUUGCUGUCGAACUUUGUGUUUGCUGAAACAUUGGGGUUUGAAGUACCGCUACACCAGUGUGUAAUUCGUUCUAUCCUGGGAGGAAAUAAUCCAUAACCUUGGGUAGUAGGAGGGGAUUAAAUUCCUUAAGGAAACACUAUGAAUUCAGUGGGCUCGAAUUAAUUUGUGUUUCAUUUAUAUCAUUUAUAUUUACGUUAAUAAGCUAACGUUUUAAUUUCCAUAAUCAUUAUUUUACAAAUACAGGAGGAACAACAAGCUUAAGGAAUUUAGUAAUUUUAAUUUCUGUAUUUGUGUUACUUUUAUUAUUCUGGAAACUUAAAACCUUUGUGGUUUUGUGUACUCCCAUUUGGAGAGUAAAUCCUUCGUGGCGUUUUGUUGGAGAUUAAAAUCUACGUGAUUUUUCACUCCAGUUUUAAACGUUUGUUUGUGUCAUUUUUACAGUAAAAAUGGCGAAUGACGGAAAUCAAGCUGUUCCGAUGAUGAUUGCCAAUGCAUCGACAAGUCGAACUCCGGCGUUGGCACCGGCAGAGAAACCCGGAAAAUUUUCCGGGAUGGAUUUCUAGCGCUGGCAGCAAAAGAUGUUCUUCUACUUGACUACGUUAUGUCUACAUAAGUUC